GGAAACCCCAGGACCUCACAAUCCAAAUGCAGAAAAGGCCCGUAGAUGAUUGUCCUCUGGAAUCUUCCAAAAGGGUCUGGGAAGCUUCUGCAGAGACUAGGGAUACCAAAGGAUUAGAAGACAGGAGUGAAGAAAACACCAAGGUGACCCUCUUUAUAGAUCAGAAAACAGGCCUGGAGGGGACCCACGCCUUGCCCAAGGUCACAGGUUGGAUACAGCAGAGCUGG
rnacentral:lncRNA from 1 species